rnacentral:rRNA from 1 species
AUGGAGCCGUCGACGCCGCCGGCCGCCACCCACGACCUCUGGGGGAUGGAGGACGAGCACCCGUCCACGGAGCGGGUGUUCGAGGGGGAGUCCGUCCCGUCGCGGUCGGAGACGAUCACGGUGCGGUCCGUGGCGGUGAGCAUCGUGCUCGGGUGCGCGCUCAGCAUCGUGGCCAUGAAGCUGGCCCUCACCUCCGGCUUCGCGCCCUCGCUCGCCAUGCCCGCCGGCCUCCUGGGGUUCUUCCUCCCGCGCCUGUGGAUGCAGCUGAUGGACAGCCUCGAGGCGUCCCAGCUGCCCUUCACCCGCCAGGAGAACACCGUCGUCCAGACGUGCGUCGUCGCCUGCACCAGCAUCGCCUACAGCGGUGGGUUUGGGACGUACAUUCUGGGGAUGAGCAAGCACUCGGCGGAGGGCGGCGUCGGGAGCGACGGCCUGAACGUGGAGGAGCCGGAGAUCGGCCGGAUGAUCGUCUUCCUCCUCCUCACCAGCUUCGCCGGCCUGUUCGCCAUCAUGCCGUUCAGGGACAGCCUCAUCGUCCACCGCCGGCUGACGUUCCCCAGCGGCACGGCCACGGCGCACCUCAUCAACACCAUGCACACUCCCCAGGGCGCCAAGCAAGCCGGCCAGCAACUGGCGAUGUUGUCGAAGACCUUAUUUGGGACCGUUGCAUGGUCGAUCUUCGAGUGGUUCUUCGGCGUCCGCAAGGGCUGUGGCUUGCAGGCGUUCCCGGUGUUUGGCCUCAGCGCUUUUCAACGAGGGUUCUACUUCGAUUUCUCCAUGACCAACGUCGGCGUCGGGAUGUUCUGCCCGUACAAGAUCACCAUCUCGAUGCUGGCGGGAUCCUUGGUCUCGUGGGGGCUCAUCUGGCCCUACAUCCAGACGAAGGAGGGGGACUGGUACCCGCAGGGCCUCGACCACGACAACAUCAGCGGCAUCAAUGGCUACCGGGUGUUCAUCGGGGUAUCCAUGAUCCUCGCCGACGGGCUCCUACACAUGCUCUGCAUCCUGGUUCAGACGCUCUACACCAUGUACAAGCAACAGGAGAACCAUCAGCCGAGGCAGAGCAGCAACGGGCAGCCGUUCCGGUGCCUUAGCGUCGUCCUCGACCGGUCGGCGUCCAGCUUCGACGACCGCCGGAGGACGCAGGUGUUCCUCCGGGACCGGGUCCCCGCCAUGGCGCCCGUCGUCGGGUACGUGGUCCUGUCAGUCAUCUCCACCGUCGUCAUACCGCAGCUCUACCCCCAGCUGAGGUACCACCACGUGGCCUUAGCCUACAUCAUCGCGCCGGUGUUCGCCUUCUGCAACGCCUACGGCAACGGCAUCACGGACAUGAACAUCGCGACCACCUACGGGAAGGUCUCGCUACUCAUCUUCAGCUCGUGGGUGGGGCUCAAGGACGGCGGCGUGGUGGCCGGGCUGGCCGCCUGCGCCAUCAUCGUGUCCAACGUGUCCACCGCGUCCGACCUGAUGCAGGACCACAAGACGGGCUACAUCACCCUCACCUCGCCGCACACCAUCACCAUCUGCCAGGUCGCCGGCACGGCGCUCGGCUGCGUGGUGAACCCCGUCAUCUUCUCCAUCUUCUACAGCGUGUACAACAGCGGCGCCCACGACGACAGCAACAGCAUCGGCCCGUACGCCAAGGUGUACCGGGGGAUCGCCAUGCUCGCCAUGACCGAGAAGAACGGGCUUCCCAGGCACACCAUGCUGCUCUGCAAGGUCUUCCUGGCGCUGGCGCUGUCCAUCAGCGUGCUCCGGGAGGUGUCGACGCACAAGAAGUGGCGCGUCCUGAGGUACAUCCCGAGCACCAUCGGCAUGGCCGUGGCCUUCUUCGUGCCGCCCACGAUCCCCGUGGGCAUGGCGCUGGGCAGCGCCGUGAUCUACCUGUGGGGGAGGUUCGACCGCGACGACAUGCGGCUCAUGUCGCCGGCGGCGGCGUGCGGGCUGAUCUGCGGGGACGGGUUCGGGUCGCUGCUGUCGUCGGCGCUCACGCUGCUCAAGGCCACCCCGCCGAUCUGCAUCAUGUUCGUGGCUCGAGGAGUGAACCAGAGCCUUGACGCUUUCCUAGCAGCGAAAGGCAUGCCAACGUAG